rnacentral:lncRNA from 1 species
AAAGAGUAGAGCUAAUAAAGAAAAAAGCUAAUAAAGAUAGAAACAGUACUUGAUAAUACAAGUUUUCCCUUCAGAAAACAGUCAAAGGUUUUGGGGCGAAUCCUGUUAAUAUAGCUACAUUAACAUUAAUGCAGUGUCCCAAGGUUUUUCUUUUUUUUUUUUUUUUUUUUUAAAUUUUUUUUUUUUUUUCCAAAGAGCUGUUGCGUGUAAAACAUUGAUUUUGUUGUUUGACACCUUGAGAACUGCACCAAUUAUGGAUAGCUUUUGUGAUUAUUAAUAUCUUUUUUUCCAGAUUUCUGCUGGUAUUUAGAAAGAGAGGGAUGAAAGAGACCAGGAUCCAAACCUGCACGGUGUUGGUCACUGCAGACCUUUGUGCCAUCCAUGGACGUGAAGCAGCGUUGGGCCAGGAGCAACACGCACAAGGCAGUGACCACAGGCAGGAAGCUUGGUGAUGGGAACCUCUCUGCUCUUGGCCCAGGCAGCUGCUCCUGCUGGCUUCUGGAGUUAAGACUCGAGUCUUCAAAAGGUCCCUUCCUGAAGCAUUGUGAGGCUCCCAAAGGUAUCCACUGUGGGCUUCACUGCUCAGCUUUGUAGGUUGUUGGAGCUAAUAGAGCCAACCUGCGUGAAACAUAAACUGGCAACAAACUACCACAUGCCUUGGGCAACAAGCAGCGCUUUCUUGUUUUACAUUGUUCAUCUCCCGAGUGUCUCUCGGUGCUGCAUGAUAUGACAAAAGGCUCAUCCUUGGAUGCCAAGUUCUUAGCACAGAAUAAAUUAACAAGAGCAGAAAUUUCCA